UCCGGGACCCCUCACUCAGUGCAGAGGGAAAUUGACACAGCCAUGAUGAGGCCUGGCUCACAAGAGCCAUAGUUACUGUAGGAGUUUCUGUGGCUAAAUAUGCUUAGCUAUUGAGGCAAGGACAUGUGCUGGAUGUGUAUGCAGUCUUUGAAGCUGGAGAGGCCUGUGUUGGAAACUGUGCUCUGUCCCAUGCCAGUUCCCUGACCUUGGAACCCAUGUCGUUACAAGAAGAGGAGUUUGGAAUGCAGACAUGAAUAGAAGGAAGACCAUGUGAAGACACAGCAGGAAGACGCCAUCUACAAGCUAAGAAGAGAGGCCUUAGAGGAAGCCAGCCCUGCCAACACUUUGAUUUCAAACUUCCAGCCUCUAGAACUGUAAGAAAAAUACAUUUGUGUUGUUUAAGCCACCCAGUCUGUGGUACUUUAUUAUAGCAACUCCAGAAAACUAAUACAUGGGCUGACA
rnacentral:lncRNA from 10 species